GACAAUUGACUCAUGAUCUUACGAAUUAGAAGAUUAAUUGUUUACCCUUAAAAUGAGUAACAGUUAAAUUUGUACGCGAUUUAAAGAAUACAUGAUUUAAUUUAACAUGAAUGAUCUAUGAACAGAAAAUAAUUAAAGUAAAGAGAAGCAAAAUGAUCAAACCAAGUGUGAUGGACAAUUAAACAUGACUUUUGGAUGAACACUGAAAAUUGACCUCGGUCAAGCCCUUGAGACGGACUCGGUUGCAACUAAGUAAAUAACUAUGAACAAUAGCUAGAGAACAAAAAUAAACUUAUAUUUCUUUGAUAUGCGCGCCAACAGUGGUUUUAAAAUAAAAAAAUUCUCUCAUUUAUAUAGUAGGGGAGUUUCAAUCCUAGUACGAGUCUAAAUAAGGUAAAAAAUUCUCCUUCCUGUAAAUAUUGAUUUGCUGUUGAUAUUGGGCGAGAUUCGCACCGUAACAUCCGAUUGAGGGCGGAUAUUACGGCUCCCUGCUUAUCGUGCCUAACUGUUUUCCUCCUUGGUCUCGGCCCUUCACUUUGCUCGGAUUCGAUGCUCAGCUGUAUUCGGUCCCGGACGUACCAUUCGUCCUCCCCGGGCUCUGAGACGUGGAAUCUCUCGGCUUUAAUUGAGGUCAUGCCAUAUCGUGCUUCCCUCUCGUUUUCUUACCGGAAAAUCGAGGGUAACUUUAUCCCCGAUUUUACCCGUACACAUUAAUAAUUUCUUUUGAAUUAAAAUUCCUCUAUAUUGUUAAUUAUGAAAACAGAUUAACAAAGUUUUAUGAUAGCAUUUAACUAUUUCAUGCCACAAGAAACAAUAUAGUUAAAUUGCACUAUUGAACAUCAAUUAGACAAGCCUCUAUUUGUUAGUUUCUCAACUCAACAACAACAACAACCCAUUAUAGUCCCACUAGUGGGGUCUGGGGAGGAUAGUGUGUACGCAGACCUUACCCCUACCUUGGGGUAGAGAGGUUGUUUUCGAUAGACCUUCGGCUCCCUUCCUCCAAGAAUUCUCCACCUUGCUCUUGGGGUGACUCGAACUCACAACCUCUUGGUUGGAAGUGGAGGGUGCUCACCACUAGUGCAACCCCCUCUGGUCCAAUUUGCAACUUCAACUAGAUUAUAUACAACUUGUUAAUCUCAUGAAUACUCCAAUUUUGUGUAGCAGCAUGAACUAAUUAAUCCGAAAUCUUAAGUUUUAAGAGAAAUUUAAAGGUUGCGAAUAAAGCUGCGAAGUUGUCAAAUUAUGCGGCUAAUGAUGUUGGCCAUUGAUUUUAUCAUCUACUAGCAGCUAUUGGUAAGUUUGGCCUUGCUAUAACUACUUCAAUUGUUGUGACCAUUGAAUUUAAAGUUUGGAGUGUGGAAUUGAAUGCAAAUCAUGUUUUGGGAAAUAGAUAAAUUUGAAUUCAAAGCUAUUGAAACCAUUCCUUGCCAUUAUUUUUUAUAAUCGUGGUGUCCAGGUCAAUUUGUGUGCAUAUCGACUAAUUUCACGAAAUACCUACUACUUCUUACCAGCACAUGCAUUAGAUAAUUUUGUUCACUAAUGCACCGUAACAUCCGAUUGAGGGCGGAUAUUACGGCUCCCUGCUUAUCGUGCCUAACCGUUUUGCUCCUUGGUCUCGGCCCUUCACUUUGCUCGGACCCAAUGCUCAACUGUAUUCGGUCCCGGACGUACCAUUCGUCCUCCCCGGACUCUGAGACGUGGAAUCCCUCGGCUUUAAUUGAGGUCAUGUGCCAUAUCGUGCUUCCCUCUCAUUUUUUUACCGAAAAAUUGAGAGUAACUUUAUCCCCGAUUUUACCCGUACACAUUAAUAAAUUCUUUUGAAUUAAAAUUCCUCUAUAUUGUUAAUUAUGAAAAUAGAUUAACAAAGUUUUAUGAUAGCAUUUAACUAUUUCAUGCCACAAGAAACAAUAUAGUUAAAUUGCACUAUUGAACAUCAAUUAGACAAGCCUCUAUUUGUUAGUUUCUCAACUCAACAACAACAACAACUCAGUAUAGUCCCACUAGUGGGGUCUAGGGAGGAUAGUGUAUACGCAGACCUUACCCCUACCUUGGGGUAGAGAGGUUGUUUUCGAUAGACCUUCGGCUCCCUCCCUCCAAGAAUUCUCCACCUUACUCUUGGGGUGACUCGAACUCACAACCUCUUGGUUGGAAGUGGAGGGUGCUCACCACUAGUGCAAC
rnacentral:lncRNA from 1 species